GAUGAAGAACGUAGCGAAAUGCGAUACUUGGUGUGAAUUGCAGAAUCCCGUGAACCAUCGAGUCUUUGAACGCAAGUUGCGCCCGAAGCCAUUAGGCCGAGGGCACGCCUGCCUGGGCGUCACACGUCGUUGCCCCCCCAUCUACUCCUUCGGGAUUGCGGGGGGUGGAUGAUGGCCUCCCGUGCGCCUCGCCGCGCGGUUGGCAUAAAUGCCAAGUCCUCGGCGACGCACGCCACGACAAUCGGUGGUUGCGAAACCUCGGUUGCCCGUCGUGUGCGGUCGUCGCGCAUCGAGGGCUCGAAAAAAUUGCCGGGUUCCGGCUCGGCUUUCAACGCGACCCCAGGUCAGGCGGGGUUACCCGCUGAAUUUAAGCAUAUCAAAGCGGAGGA
rnacentral:misc_RNA from 1 species